UGUAUAUAGAGGUGGUGUGUGUGUAGUGUGUAUAUAGAGGUGGUGUGUGUAUAGUGUGUGUAUAGAGGUGGUGUGUAUAUAGAGGUGGUGUGUGUAUAGAGGUGGUGUGUGUAUAGAGGUGGUGUGUGUGCUGAUCCCUGACUGUUUCCCAUCCUCUUAGCGCUCAGAUCCACAUUCUGACCCGGCUCAGCUGGUUACCCCUGACAACGCUGUGUGUGUGUGUGUGUGAGAGAGAGCUGUGUGUGUGUGUGUGUGUGUGUGAGAGAGAGCUGUGUGUGUGUGUGAGAGAGAGCU
rnacentral:lncRNA from 1 species